GACGAACGCUGGCGGCGUGCUUAACACAUGCAAGUCGAACGAAGUGGCGAACGGGUGAGUAACGCGUAAUACACCUGCCCUUCAGAGGGGGACAACAGUUGGAAACGACUGCUAAUACCGCAUACUGAAGGUGGGGAUUGCGUCUGAUUAGCUAGUUGGUGGGGUAACGGCCGACCCAGGCGAUGGUCAGUAGCCGGUCUGGGAGGAUGGACGGCCAACAUGGGACUGGGACAACGCCCAAGCUCCUACGGGGAGGAGCAGGUGGGGAACUUUCGGAAUGGGCGAAAGGCCUACGGAGCAACGCCGCGUUGGGUAUGACGGCCUUCGGGUUGGAAAGCUCUGUUAAUCGGGACGCGGUACCGAAAUAGAAAGCCACGGCUAACUACGUGCCAGCAGCCGCGGUAAUUG
rnacentral:rRNA from 1 species